rnacentral:rRNA from 1 species
AGAGUUUGAUCCUGGCUCAGGAUGAACGCUAGCGACAGGCUUAACACAUGCAAGUCGAGGGGCAGCAUGGUAGGUAGCAAUACUUAUUGAUGGCGACCGGCGCACGGGUGAGUAACGCGUAUGCAACUUACCUAUCAGAGGGGGAUAGCCCGGCGAAAGUCGGAUUAAUACUCCAUAAAACAGGGGUUCCGCAUGGGACUAUUUGUUAAAGAUUCAUCGCUGAUAGAUAGGCAUGCGUUCCAUUAGGCAGUUGGCGGGGUAACGGCCCACCAAACCGACGAUGGAUAGGGGUUCUGAGAGGAAGGUCCCCCACAUUGGUACUGAGACACGGACCAAACUCCUACGGGAGGCAGCAGUGAGGAAUAUUGGUCAAUGGACGCAAGUCUGAACCAGCCAUGCCGCGUGCAGGAUGACGGCUCUAUGAGUUGUAAACUGCUUUUGUACGAGGGUAAACGCAGAUACGUGUAUCUGUCUGAAAGUAUCGUACGAAUAAGGAUCGGCUAACUCCGUGCCAGCAGCCGCGGUAAUACGGAGGAUUCAAGCGUUAUCCGGAUUUAUUGGGUUUAAAGGGUGCGUAGGCGGUUUGAUAAGUUAGAGGUGAAAUUUCGGGGCUCAACCCUGAACGUGCCUCUAAUACUGUUGAGCUAGAGAGUAGUUGCGGUAGGCGGAAUGUAUGGUGUAGCGGUGAAAUGCUUAGAGAUCAUACAGAACACCGAUUGCGAAGGCAGCUUACCAAACUAUAUCUGACGUUGAGGCACGAAAGCGUGGGGAGCAAACAGGAUUAGAUACCCUGGUAGUCCACGCAGUAAACGAUGAUAACUCGUUGUCGGCGAUACACAGUCGGUGACUAAGCGAAAGCGAUAAGUUAUCCACCUGGGGAGUACGUUCGCAAGAAUGAAACUCAAAGGAAUUGACGGGGGCCCGCACAAGCGGAGGAACAUGUG